rnacentral:rRNA from 1 species
UGACCGCGUACUUUUUGUAGAACGGGCCAACGAGUUACGUUAAGUAGCAAGGUUAAGCACUUAAGGUGCGGAGCCGUAGCGAAAGCGAGUUUUACCUGAGCGUUCAGUUACUUGACGUAGACCCGAAACCGGGCGACCUACCCAUGAGCAGGAUGAAGCGAAAGUAAAAUUUCGUGGAGGUCCGAACCCACGAGCGUUGAAAAGCUCGGGGAUGACUUGUGG